rnacentral:rRNA from 1 species
GAUGAACGCUAGCUACAGGCUUAACACAUGCAAGUCGCGGGGCAGCAUGGGGGUUGCUUGCCAUCCCCGAUGGCGACCGGCGCACGGGUGAGUAACGCGUAUCCAACCUGCCCUUCACCACGGGAUAACCCGGCGAAAGUCGGACUAAUACCGUAUGUUGUCCAUUGACGGCAUCCGAUUUGGACGAAAGGCUUGGCGGUGAGGGAUGGGGAUGCGUCCGAUUAGCCAGACGGCGGGGUAACGGCCCACCGUGGCUACGAUCGGUAGGGGUUCUGAGAGGAAGGUCCCCCACACUGGAACUGAGACACGGUCCAGACUCCUACGGGAGGCAGCAGUGAGGAAUAUUGGUCAAUGGGCGUAAGCCUGAACCAGCCAAGUAGCGUGCAGGAUGACGGCCCUAUGGGUGGUAAACUGCCUUUAUGCGGGGAUAAAGUGGCCCACGUGUGGGCUUUUGCAGGUAUCGCAUGAAUAAGGACCGGCUAAUUCCGUG